rnacentral:rRNA from 1 species
UACGUAGGGUGCGAGCGUUAAUCGGAAUUACUGGGCGUAAAGCGUGCGCAGGCGGCGCCGCAAGUCAGGCGUGAAAUCCCCGAGCUUAACUUGGGAAUGGCGCUUGAAACUACGGUGCUGGAGUGUGGCAGAGGGAGGUGGAAUUCCACGUGUAGCGGUGAAAUGCGUAGAUAUCGGAAGGAACAUCAGUGGCGAAAGCGACUUCCUGGACCAAUACUGACGCUCAUGUGCGAAAGCGUGGGGAGCAAACAGG